rnacentral:rRNA from 1 species
UACGGGAGGCAGCAGUGGGGAAUAUUGGACAAUGGGCGCAAGCCUGAUCCAGCAAUGCCGCGUGAGUGAUGAAGGCCCUCGGGUCGUAAAGCUCUUUUACCAGGGAUGAUAAUGACAGUACCUGGAGAAUAAGCUCCGGCUAACUCCGUGCCAGCAGCCGCGGUAAU